rnacentral:lncRNA from 1 species
AUAUAAACGACUGCAAGAAUACACCUUAAAUCUAUACGGAUGCCCUUCGACUGCUUGUCGAAGUCCUUUUUGCCCCAGCCGAUAGGUCUCUAGACAUUACAGAGAACCCCGAACAACCCAAUCUGCUAAUCUCCAAUACCGCUUUGUACUUACGAUCUCAUAUCCACUGACUGUCCUGUUAUAUUAACCCAAUAAAUUUCAUUCACUCCGCAUACUCAAUCCUAUAGACACCCUUUUAAUUCUUCAAUCACAAACGUAACUCGAUUU